rnacentral:rRNA from 1 species
AGAACGAACGCUGGCGGCAGGCUUAACACAUGCAAGUCGAACGCUCGUAGCAAUACGGGAGUGGCAGACGGGUGAGUAACGCGUGGGAACAUACCCUCCGGUUCGGAAUAGCUCAGGGAAACUUGGAUUAAUACCGGAUACGGCUGAGAGGCGAAAGAUUUAUCGCCGGAGGAUUGGCCCGCGUUCGAUUAGUUUGUUGGUGAGGUAACGGCUCACCAAGGCGAUGAUCGAUAGCUGGUCUGAGAGGAUGAUCAGCCACAUUGGGACUGAGACACGGCCCAAACUCCUACGGGAGGCAGCAGUGGGGAAUAUUGGACAAUGGGCGCAAGCCUGAUCCAGCCAUGCCGCGUGAGUGAUGACGGCCUUAGGGUUGUAAAGCUCUUUUGUGCGGGAAGAUAAUGACGGUACCGCAAGAAUAAGCCCCGGCUAACUUCGUGCCAGCAGCCGC